GGGGGUAGAGAGAGGGAAGUGGGCGGGAGCGGAGGACAGAGUCGCAAGAGUAGCCGGCGGCCGUGGGGCGCUGGGCAGGUGGGAGCCCGCGUGGGCCAGGCCGGGAUGAGCGAUGGCAUCGGUCAAGGUGGCCGUGAGGGUCCGGCCCAUGAAUCGCAGGGAAAAGGACUUGGAAGCCAAAUUCAUUAUUCAAAUGGAGAAAAGCAAAACAACAAUCACAAACUUAAAGAUACCAGAAGGAGGGACUGGGGACUCAGGAAGAGAACGGACGAAGACCUUCACCUAUGACUUCUCUUUUUAUUCUGCUGAUACGAAAAGUCCAGAUUAUGUCUCACAAGAGAUGGUUUUCAACACCCUCGGCACAGAUGUCGUGAAGUCUGCAUUUGAAGGUUAUAAUGCUUGUGUCUUUGCAUAUGGGCAAACUGGAUCGGGAAAGUCAUACACUAUGAUGGGAAAUUCUGGCGAUUCUGGCUUAAUACCUCGGAUUUGUGAAGGGCUCUUCAGUCAAAUAAAUGAAACCACCAGAUGGGAUGAAGCAUCUUUUCGAACUGAAGUCAGCUACUUAGAAAUUUAUAAUGAACGUGUGCGAGAUCUACUUAGGCGGAAGUCAUCCAAAACCUUCAAUUUAAGAGUCCGAGAGCAUCCAAAAGAAGGACCUUAUGUGGAGGAUUUAUCCAAACAUUUAGUACAGAAUUACGGUGAUGUGGAAGAACUCAUGGAUGCAGGAAAUAUCAACCGAACCACAGCAGCGACUGGGAUGAACGACGUCAGUAGCAGGUCUCAUGCCAUCUUCACCAUCAAGUUCACUCAGGCAAAAUUUGAUUCUGAAAUGCCGUCUGAAACCGUGAGUAAGAUCCACUUAGUCGAUCUUGCUGGAAGUGAGCGAGCGGAUGCCACCGGUGCCACUGGGGUCAGACUGAAGGAAGGGGGGAAUAUUAACAAAUCCCUCGUGACUCUGGGAAAUGUCAUUUCUGCCUUAGCUGAUUUAUCUCAGGACGCGGCAAACCCUCUUGUGAAGAAGAAACAAGUUUUCGUGCCUUACAGAGAUUCUGUUUUGACUUGGCUGUUGAAAGAUAGCCUUGGCGGGAACUCUAAAACCAUCAUGAUCGCCACCAUUUCACCUGCUGAUGUCAAUUAUGGAGAAACCCUAAGUACUCUUCGCUAUGCAAAUAGAGCCAAAAACAUCAUCAACAAGCCUACUAUUAAUGAGGACGCCAACGUCAAACUCAUCCGUGAGCUGCGUGCUGAAAUAGCCAGACUGAAAACGCUGCUUGCUCAAGGGAAUCAGAUUGCCCUCUUAGACUCCCCCACAGCCUUAAGUAUGGAGGAAAAACUUCAGCAGAAUGAAGCAAGAGUUCAAGAAUUGACCAAGGAAUGGACAAAUAAGUGGAAUGAAACCCAAAAUAUUUUGAAAGAACAAACUCUAGCCCUUAGGAAAGAAGGGAUUGGAGUUGUUUUGGAUUCUGAACUGCCCCAUUUGAUUGGCAUUGAUGAUGACCUUCUGAGUACUGGAAUCAUCUUAUAUCACUUGAAGGAAGGUCAGACAUAUGUUGGUCGAGAAGAUGCUUCAACAGAACAGGAUAUUGUUCUUCAUGGCCUUGACCUGGAGAGUGAGCACUGCAUCUUUGAAAACGUCGGGGGGACGGUGACUCUGAUACCCCUGAGCGGGUCUCAGUGCUCCGUGAAUGGUGUUCAGAUCAUGGAGGCCACACACCUAAAUCAAGGUGCUGUGAUACUCUUGGGAAGAACCAAUAUGUUUCGCUUUAACCAUCCUAAGGAGGCUGCCAAGCUCAGGGAGAAGAGGAAGAGUGGCCUUCUGUCCUCCUUCAGCUUGUCCAUGACUGACCUCUCGAAGUCCUGUGAGAACCUGUCCACGGUCAUGUUGUAUAACCCAGGUCUUUUCCCUAUAAAAGGACCCAUCUGUCUAAGACUUGAAUUUGAGCGGCAACAGCGCGAAGAACUUGAAAAAUUAGAAAGUAAAAGGAAACUCAUAGAAGAAAUGGAAGAAAAGCAGAAGUCAGAUAAGGCAGAACUGGAGCGGAUGCAGCAGGAGGUGGAGACUCAGCGCAAGGAGACGGAGAUUGUCCAGCUGCAGAUCCGCAAGCAGGAGGAGAGCCUCAAACGCCGCAGCUUCCACAUCGAGAGCAAGCUGAAGGAUUUGCUUGCCGAGAAGGAAAAGUUCGAAGAGGAAAGGCUGCGGGAGCAGCAGGAAAUCGAGCUGCAGAAGAAGAAGCAGGAGGAGGAGAGCUGUCUCCGAGUCAAAGAAGAGCUCCAGCGGCUCCAGGAGCUCAACAACAACGAGAAGGCCGAGAAGAUCCAGAUAUUUCGAGAGCUGGACCGCCUCAAGAAGGAGAAGGACGAGCAAUACGCCAAGCUCGAGUUGGAGAAGAAGAGGCUGGAGGAGCAGGAGAAGGAGCAGGUCGUGCUCGUGGUGCACCUGGAGGAGCAGCUGCGCCAGAAGCGGGAGAUGAGCCGGCUCCUCCAGCGAGGGGAGGUGCAGCGGGUGGAGGAGGAGAGGAGGGACCUGGAGGGCAUCCGGGAGGCCCUCCUGCAGGUGAAGGAGGCCCGGGCCGAAGGGGAGGACGACGGCGAGGAGUCAGAACGGGCUCAGCUGCGUUUCCUGGAGUUCAAGAGAAGGCAGCUGGUCAAGCUGGCCAACUUGGAGAAGGACCUGGUUCAGCAGAAGGACCUCCUGAGGAAAGAAGUCGAAGAGGAACAAGAACUCGUGGAGCGUUUAAAGUCUGCAAACGAAGAUGACUUCAGAGUGCUGGAGAAAGAUGCUGAGGGUGUCACACACGUCACCCAGGCAGCUCAAAUCCUCCAGAAGAUAAAGCCCGCGGAAUACAGGCUGCAGUAUAAGGAACGCCAGCUCCAGUACCUCCUGCAGCAUCAUUUGCCAACCCUGCUGGAGGAAAAGCAGAGAGCGUUUGAAAUCCUUGACAGAGGUCCUCUUGGCUUAGACAACACUCUUUAUCAAGUGGAAAAAGAAAUGGAAGAAAAAGAGGAACAGCUCGCUCAGUACCAGGCCAACGCGAGCCAGCUGCAGAAGCUCCAAGCCACCUUUGAGUUCACUGCCAACAUCGCCCGUCAGGAAGAAAAAGUGAGGAAGAAGGAAAAGGAGAUCCUCGAGUCGCGGGAGAAGCAGCAGCGCGAGGCGCUGGAGCGGGCCGUGGCCAGGCUGGAGAGGAGGCACUGGGCCCUGCAGAGGCGCUCCACCCUGGGCCUGGAGAUCGAGGAGCAGAGGCAGAGACUGGCCACGCUGAACAGCAGCAGCAGCGAGCAGUCCGGCCUCCGGGCCAGCCUGGAAGCUGAGCAGGAAGCCCUGGAGAAGGACCGGGAGAGAUUAGAGCAUGAAAUCCAGCAGUUGAAGCAGAAGAUCUGUGAGGUUGAUGGUGUUCAAAAGGGGCAUCGUGGGACCGUGGAGGGGAAGCCUCCUUCUUCCAGCUUGCCAUCCAGUGCUGAAAAAUCUCACCUGGUCCCUCUGAUGGAUGCCAGGAUCAGUGCUUACAUUGAAGAAGAAGUCCAACGACGACUUCAGGAUUUGCAUCGCGUGAUUGGCGAGGAUAGCAGUGCAUCUGCAGAUGUGGCGAGGGAUAAUGAGAAACUCCACAAUGGCACCAUUCAACGUAAGCUAAAAUAUGAGAGGAUGGUUUCUCGCUCUUUGGGAGCAAAUCCAGACGACCUGAAGGACCCAAUUAAAAUUAGUAUUCCACGCUAUGUGCUCUGCGGGCAAGGGAAGGACGAGCACUUCGAGUUUGAGGUCAAGAUUACUGUCCUAGAUGAGACAUGGACCGUAUUCAGGCGCUACAGUCGCUUUCGAGAAAUGCAUAAAACAUUGAAGUUAAAGUAUGCAGAGCUUGCUACCCUUGAGUUCCCUCCAAAGAAACUAUUUGGAAACAAGGAUGAACGAGUGAUUGCUGAGAGGCGAAGUCACUUAGAGAAGGCCUAGCAGGAUCCAUGGAUCAGGGAGAAGAGAUGCUGUUGGAGCACAGUGAAGAAGCUGCAACAUGAGGACCAUUGGAGAGCCGAUCCAAUCCCAGACCUGAAAGGAAAUGGCUGCAAGAUGAGAAGGGCCACACUAUUGAAAUCCCUGCUGAUCAUGCAGGUUUUUGCCUGGAAGGACUAUGGAGCAUAUGGUCGGUCCCAAUGACCAGACUAACGUUUCAUCCAGAAACUCCAGAAUUGAAAAGAACAAGCCAGCAGAGGCCAUCGUAAGGCCAGCUUUUAGCUAGGUUGUUCCGGUAACUUAAGUACUUUUCCUUUCAGCUAGAGCAGAGCCUAAAAUUAUAUUGUAAGGCACAUAUGAAUCAUGUUAACAAAAUGACCUUCAUCAAGAAUGAAAUAAAAAUGAAAAUAGCAUGUAGCAGCACAUUAUAUUUUCAAUUUUUUUCCUCAUGCAAUGUAUCGAUUGAGGUACCAGGCUAAAGCUCUAAAAUAAUUGACUAAAUUCUUGCUGAAUUACCCUGUAUUGCUGUAGGGAGUGUGCUUCACCUUUCAGAACUCAUUAACACAGCCAGUAGACCAUAUUAGCCUGUGUUUUGGUUCAAAAGAUUAAUAAUAUUUAGUUGUUGUAUUUUGAAAUGGUGUUGGAAUUUUGAAGAUUGGCCUGCGUGUAUAUAUCAGGCUUUGGGCAGGAGCUUUCCAGGUAAAUGCUUGGCCGGGGAUGUACCACUAGGAUGCACUGACCCAUUAAAAAUGUUAGUCACUAAAGCCUCCUAGGAGUGAGGGAAGGGUGACUUGGGCAGCUCUUGAUGUGACUACAGACUACACCCCCCACAGCCCAGGGGCUUGGAUGUGGUAUAGGUGGAAGGUUUCCUCUGAUCUUGACUGGCACCGACUACCUGCCAGUGCUCCGGAGUUAAUGUCCGUUAACUUGUUUGCAAACAGUAGAAAAAUCACUGGGGCCACAUUGUAAGCAAAUGGACUUCUCCACUCCCAGGCUUGGGAAUGGCCCGACCAAAGUCUCUCCUGGAGCUGCCCCUCUGUGAGAGAGGUCCCUGAAUUUCUUACACUCUUAUAAAUGCUCUAUGGCAGUGGCUGUGAAGUCAAUAAGAGGUCGAUUCCAGCAGGUUCCAAGUGGUAUCUCCAGUAGCUCUUUGGCAGUGAGGUGCCCAUCCCAGAAUAUGAAUGGGAAAAACUCACCAGCCCUCUGCCAUAAGUCAGCUAGAUAACCAACCCCCAAAGAAGGGAAAGCUGUUUUUUCAGAAGGGAAUCUGAGUGCUAUUAGGGAAGGGAAAAGGAAGCAGGGCAGUCAAAACAUGGCCAGUGCUCACCAAGGCUCUGUAAGGAAGAUAUCAGAGCAUGAACAGAGUUACAUUGGACUCUGUGGAGAAGAGUAUAAGGCUCACAGCUAGAGGUCUUUUUCUCAUGUUUGUAUGGAACAUUAACUGUCGAGAACCCAGAGGCCCCCUGUCUCUGUGAGAGCAGCCUCAGGCCUGGAAAAGGCAGCAUAUCUGGCUCAGUGUAGACAACCUUGCCUGGUGAGAGACAACAGUGCUCAGGACAUGGGAGGCCCAACAGGAUAAAACAGGGAUGGUAGGCGCUGGACAGCAGGCUGUUGAUUGAGACCCAGCCUCUAGGGCUGAAAGAUGUGGGUAUGUAUCUGGUAUUCCCACCUCUGUGCUUCAUGACCUUUGGGGCAUUACUUAAGCCUCUUGGUUCUCAGUUUCUUCAUCUGGCAGAUGGGUCCCAUGCAGUGUCCCUAUUUCAUAAAUAGCUAUUUCAUAAAUAGCUCUUGUGGUAAGUAAAUGAGAUAUACCAUGAAAAGUUCUCACUGUGCCUAGAACAUUACAUGCCCUUGAUAACUGGCCUCUUCGUAAGAGCAACAAGAUGGCAGCUGGUCAGACUGUUGUGUGUACGUGGGAGACAAUCCUCAGGAAAUACUCAGAGUGGUCUUGGCAGGUAUGAGUUGACCACUUUCCUUUGGAAAGGAGAGCUCAGGAGCCUGAUGUAGGUGUCUCGAACAACCUGUGUGUCCUCGUCUUUCCUGUGUUCUUUCGGCCUUCUCUUGAAAAGCUCCUGGUCCCCUCAGGAUUUUGUCUUAUUUGGAGGUGGAGAUUAAAAGCACAUGCCUAUUUAACAUUUCCAUUUGGAACACACCCAUGGGGUGGUCUCUCCCAGUUUCGUCUACCCCUGCUCAUUGCCUUUGCAUGGAUUGACUUUAAAAAAUAAUAAGAGGGGUACCUGGGUGGCUCA